rnacentral:tRNA from 1 species
GGGCCCGUGGCUCAAUGGUUGGAGCAAUUGAUUUCUGCUCAACGGGUCGCGGGUUCA